GAUGAACGCUGGCGGCGUGCCUAAUACAUGCAAGUCGAGCGGACGGACGAGAAGUUUGCUGCUCUGAUGUUAGCAGCGGACGGGUGAGUAACACGUGGAUAACCUACCUAUUAGACUUGGAUAACUUCGGGAAACCGGAGCUAUUACCGGAAGAUUUUUUGAACCGCAUUGGUCAAAAGUGAAAGACGGUCUUGCUGUCACUUAUCGAUGGAUCAGCUCGUCAUUAGCGAGUUGGUAAGGUAACGGCUUACCAAGGCAACGGUGCAUAGCCGACGUGAGAGGGUGGCCGGCCACACAGGGAGUGAGGCACGGUCGAGACUCCGAAGGGAGGCAGAAGUCGAGAAUAGUCAGCAGUGGGCGAAAGCGCAACGUAGGAGCGCGGCGUGAGUGGUGACGGUCUUUGGAGCGUGACACUCUGUUAUUAGGAAAGAACAUAUGUGUAAGUAGAAGUGCACAUCUUGACGGUACCUAUUCAGAAAGCCACGGCUAACUACGUG
rnacentral:rRNA from 1 species